rnacentral:lncRNA from 1 species
CCAAAUAUUUAUAUUUCCUCUGCAGAAACAAAAACAAAAUAUCCAUCUUGCUCCACUUUUUCUCCUCCUCCAUUUUUCCAUCAACAAAUGGAACUCUGAAAAAUCGACACAAAGCAUCAAGAAAACUACAUAGUAAACAAGAGGAGGAAAUUCUCAAGAUAUAUAAAGGGCUUGAAGAAAUAUUUCAAUCUUUCUUUUGAAAAAGGAGAUGGCUUUAAUGCGCCUUCUCACCCAGGUCACUUCUUUAAUUCAAUUCUUUUUUUUUUCAAUUUCCUCGGAAAGAUAUUUUAAUUUCAUUUUUGUUUGGUUUAUUGAUUGAUUGAUGGUUUGAUAAUUCAGUCUAUUAGGUCAGAGAAUCCCUAAUUUUUGUAGUUUUAUGUGUUUUUAUUUCAAAGGUUGGAUUUUUAUAAAUUUUCUUAUGAAAUUAGUGGAAAUUUUAGAGUAAUUAGCUUGCUCCUAACUUGGGUUUAUCUUUGUUUUUUUUUGUUCCGUACGAUUAUGUCAGAGAAUGAAUCUUUUUGUUCUUUCCAAUUAAACUAUUGGAAAUUUUAGAGUGUUUAGCUUGUUCUAACUCGGGUCUUCUCUUUUAUGUUUCUUAGGAUUAUUUUAGUGCUAUGCUACUGUCAGAGAAACCCUAAUACUGUUAGUUUUAUGGGUUUUUAUUUCAAUGAUUGAAUCUUCUUUUUAUUUUUUAUUUUUGUUAAAUUAUUGAAAAUUUCACAAGGUAGGACAUGUGGCUGCUUCAGCUUACCGAAGUGUGGAGAUAGAGGAUUAGGGUUGUAGGUUGAGUGAUACUAGUGUGUUCCUCGUAGGUUUUCCAGUAGUAUAAGGAUUAUUUUUGUAUUAUCCUAUCAUGUGUUCAAGUCUCCCAAGAGCAAGGUGAAAAGUUAUUGGUAGGAAGGAUGUCAAAGGUCUAUUUGGAAACAGCCUCUCUACCUUAGCAUAGGGGAUAAGGUCUGUGUACACACUACCCUCCCCAGACCCUCAAUAGGAUUAUACUGGGUUGUUGUAUCCUUUUCUUUUUGAUUUGCACCAGGUGUCCGAGUCUCUACGAGCCCCGAUUAAUGCCAGGGGUGCACAGGCCCUCGGCAAGGAGUUUUCCGCAAGUGCACCACGGUUAAUUCAGGUUUUACCCAGUCCGAUGGUCCUCAGAAAUUUUUUAUACCCAGUGAGUUUCGAACUUGAGACCUUGAAAGGGAGCAAACCCCAAUGCUCAAGUCAAUUGCCACCAGGCCAACCCCUGAGGGUUUGUUGUAUCUUAUCACGUGUCUUUAUCAUUAUGUGCUGUGUCAUUCGUGCUCGUUUCCACAUUACAUUGUUAUUACCAUUGUUUGCUACUUGACUGCUUUAUCUUAUCUCUACUGUUCCCUGAGUUGAGGUUCUAUCGGAAACAAGCUUUCUACCUUUAUAAGGUAGGGGUAAGGUCUGUGUACACACUACCCUUAUCAGGCUCCACUGAUGGAGUUACACUGGGUUUUUUGUUGUUGUUGUAUUGAAAAUUUCCGAGUAUUUAGCUCGGUCCUAACUUGGGUUUUUAUCUUUUUGGUUUCUUAAUAGGAUUGGUUUAGUAUUAUGCUACUGUUUUCCAAGUAUAAUGUUUUACUGAGACUAUAACGAGUCCAGAACCAAAGUAUUAAUAUUUUGAACUCAAACGACCAAAAUAUGUGUUAAAAAAAGGGUGAACAAUUUUAUAUAUAGCACACGAAAUAAAUGGAUCAAUUACCCCGUUAAUGUAUAGCGCAUGUUCAUGCGCUAUACACUUCUUUUCUGUCAUAUUCCACUUAAAAUCUAAAGCCAGUCACGCUCCCAAAGCUCACAAAGUUGAACUGUUUUUACUUAGAAGCUUUAAAUUCCUAUUUGUUAUACACUUCCCCAAUAAUAAAAUCAGACCCCUUUGUUAGUUCAAAGAGGUAUAUGUCUUUGAUAGACUGAUUCAAAAUUCUUUAAACAAUAAGGGGUUGUUUGAUUUAUCGUAUUAACAAAUUAAUUCCAGCAUAACAUAUUUAUAUAAGUUAUACGAUAUUUGAUGAUAGUAUAAAAGGCCGUGUAUUUUAAUACAAAAUCUGGUUGGCUUUAUUAAAUUCUGCAUUUGUGAAUAUCUCUAUAAGUUAUGCGAGAAUUUGCAUAUUAGUUAUGUGAAAUAGAAUACGGAAUAAGAGUACAUAUGUUAGCACUACAUGAAUACGAACAACUAAAAACAAAAUUCCCUAAAGUAAAAUAUUAGCGUCUAACAAUGUUAUUUACUGUAUAAUAAUCUUCACAUUAUCAUGUUAGUCUAAUAUAUCAUACAACACUAGGAGUACUAGUUUUCGAUACUAAUAAGCAUUCAAUGAUAUAUACGUGUGUGUAGCUUAAGUGACAAUUAGUAGACACAUUCUAAUUGUUUAACUCUAGUCAUCCCCACCGUUCAAAGAACACCAAAUCUGUUAAGUGUUAGUUACCCCGUUAACUAUAGCGCAUAUCUUUUGUGCGCUAUAUAUAAAAUUGUUCAUCCAUUUUUUAUCACCUAUUUUGGUCGCUUGAGUUCAAAAUGUUGUUUUUAUUUGGUUCCAGCCUCGACUAUAACUGCUUUAUCUCUUUUUUCUUGUUAUAAUAAUGGUUAUGAAACUGAAGAGCGUUUUUUGUUUUAUUUUGUAUUUAUGUUUUUAAGUCUAUAUCUUAUUUAACUUAUAGGCAAUACCAACUAGUUAGGAUUAAGGUCUAGUUUUUUUCCUGCUUUGUUUUAAAUUUGCUUUGGUGUUUGCUCUAAAAUUGUGUAUUCUGGUUAGAUUAUAUCCGUGACGCGUGGAUAAGUGUUUAUGACGACUCAUAUAGUUGACCUGAACUAGCCUAGAAUUGAGGUGUUUUUGAUUGAUUGCAAUAGCAGAAUCAAGAAUUUUAACAAGGGGAUUCAAAAGUUUCAGACUUGCAACCUAAAGUAAACAAAGGGGAUAUGAAAGCUUAUAUAUAUAUAUAUAUACGAUAAAAUUGUUUACCUUAUUUGGGCAGUACAUUUUCCAACGUAGGGGAUUUCACUUCAAUGGCUGUGGCUCUGCCACUAAUUGAUUGGUGGUUUGAGUUUUCACUCUAUUAGGUCAUAGAAACCCAAAUCUUGCUAGUUUUAUGGGUUUCUUUUUCCAAGAUUGAAUCAUUUUUAUUACUUUUGGCAGAAUAGCCUGGUAGACUCUUGUACGUAUCUCAUUUUGUCGUCCCAGUCCCUGUAUUCUAUAGUUUGUUAAGUGAAUACUUGUACUUGUUCAAACUCUAUAUAUUAAACCCUUAUGACGUUGAUCGAGACUAUAAGGCUGACUUGGCUUCGGUGCGUAACUCACACGCCUUUUAGGGGCGUGAGGCCUAUUAGAAAGCCCUACCAGUAGCAUUCUCAUUAUUUAACAGUUUUCUUCUUUAUUCUUCAUUCAUUCUUCAUUGUUGAACCUAGUUGGAACUCUCUUGGGUACUUAACAAAAUUAUCUCUCUUCUUUCUCUUUAAUUUUUUUCCAGUUGUUUCGUCCUUGUUUGGGAUUUUGUUGAUAAAAAUACACCUUUAUAGGACUCCAUAAGCAAACAAACAAAAAUCUCUAAUUUUUUAUCUGAUAAAGCAUCCGAGGUUCUAUAUCUUCCCCAAAAAAUCAUAUAAUAUUACUAUAUAACCUGGUGAACCACAACCCAGAAUGAAAUCCAACUUACUUCACAAAAGAAAUUGGGUCGAAGACUAAUUUGGUACUUUACAAACAAAACAAAAAGACCUAAAGCGAAACAGAAUAAUCGAAUAUGUCACUAUAUGCAUGACAGUACAAUAAAGGGGCUUUGUGCUUCAAAAUGCUUACAGAACCAGUAAGCAAACAGAACGAAAAAAGAUAUUCAGACAUACUCAAGAGCAUUAAUUAGCGACCCAACCUAUCCAUUAACUGAUAAACAGCCAAAAAAAAAAUUAAAAAAAAAAGAGAUAAGAAAAAUGAGUUAAGAAGAGAUGAAAAUAUUUACCACAAAAUGACAGAAGAAAUGCAAAAAACGAUGACCUGAAAUUCAAUGAAAGAAGACGAAGGAGAGAUAGAGCGGAGAAGACGAUGAAAGAGAAACAGUCUCUGUAAAAUGAGGGAAAUAGGAUUUGGGGGGUUUUAAUUUAAUUUAGACAUAUUAUUUCGUAUUUGGCACUAAAUAAUGACAUGGAAUCCUACGUGGAUGCAAUUGUGUUGCACGCUAUACUGACCUCUGGAGGCAAUUGUGUUGCACGCGUACUGACAUCUUCAAAAUGGGUUUAAUACAUAGAGUUUCAAACAAGCACAAGUGUUCACUUAACAAAUUAUAGAAUACAAGGACCGGGAUGACAAACUGGGACAAGUACAAUAAUCUACUAGCCUAUUCUGCUAUUUCUUUUCUAUUAAAAUAUUGGAAUUUCAGAGUAUUUAGCUCUGGUUUGGUGCUUGCAGUAAAUCUUUUUAUUGUGGUUGGAGUUUUAUAUGUCCGUGCAGGGAUAAGUGGGAAAUUUGGAGAACCUCUAAUCUUUGAUAAUCACUAACUUGACUUGUAAGACUCAUUAUUUUAGUAUUGGAAUGAGAUGGAGUUGAUAGAGCUUAAUGGAUAAAGAUGUUUCAUUUAACCAACUCCGACUAAUUUGAGAUUGUGGUGUAGUUGAUUGAUUGUAUCUCAUCUAGCUCAUUACGUGUUUCUACCAGUAUCUUUUGUUCUAAGGUGAAAUAUUCGUGUUCUUCGGAAAUAAAAAUAUUCCCAGCUGCCUUUUUUUAGAUUGGCCGUAUUUAGUUUGGCAGUGUUCCUCAUCUUACACUGUGUGUUUUAUGAUGGUUUUAUUUUCCUAUUUUCUCUCCUCUUAGGUCUGUAAUAGUACCUUCUUUUGUUUUAUAGGUUGAGAGGCAUCAAUCUCAACUGAGGCAGCUACGCUCUUUGUUCAAUAGAAAGGAACUUACUUCUAGAAGGAUCAUAGGAUAAAGUUUUAUAG